UAGUACGUGAUGUUUCUCUGAGUGAAAACGACUGCGUUUGAGUGACUUUGAAAGGAAAAGGAUUCUUUUUAUACCCAUAAGGGUGUAGUUACGAAAUCUACCAGCAGGGGUUAACCAAACCGCUAACCACUUAAACCAGCCAAGCUAAACCAUGUGCUCAGAAACUGCUGACGAAUGUUGAAAAAAGUCAGAGAUCGUCAUCAGCAGGACUCAAGUGACCGUAGAGUGGGAUCAGAGCAAAGCUCUCGGGGCUCCAGAGGGAGGAAAAUAGAAGUUGCGCUGAUCCGACACACUGCUGCGAUAUUACAGUAAUCCACUGACUGCUGUUACUGUAGACAUAUGACUGUGUGUUAUUGAGCCCCUAAUGGAGCCGCUAAACCUGAGAGGGGCAUUAUGGGUAUCUGCACUGGCUAAAAUUAACUGUUUUCCACACCUGCCAACAGAGAAGAGCUGAGAAAAUGUACUGGACCUGUCUGUUGAUCUCGAUGAGGAUGCAGGUGUAGCAGCAGCUCAUGACCAGCAGCGGAAUCACGUACAGCGUCACGAAAUGAAACAUGUUGU